AUGGCUCCCACGGCGCCUUCGCCGGCGAAGUCCGCCUCCCCGUCCCAACCAUCCGGCAAGAGCGAGGUGUCGGAUCUGAAGCAGCAGCUGCGGCAGCUGGCGGGGAGCCGUGCGCCAGACGCUGAUGAUCAGCGCCGGGAUGUCUUCAAGCGGGUGAUCUCUUGCAUGACCGCAGGUAUCGACGUGUCGGCGGCGUUCGGGGAGAUGGUGCUCUGCUCCGCCACCUCCGACGUUGUGCUCAAGAAGAUGUGCUACCUCUACGUCGGUGUCCAUGCGCGCGCCCACCCGGACCUUGCCCUCCUCACCAUCAACUUCCUCCAGCGCGACUGCCGCGACCAGGACCCAACCAUCCGCGGCCUUGCGCUCCGCAGCCUCUGCUCCCUCCGCGUUCCAAACCUUGUCGAGUACCUUGUUACGCCGCUCACCACAGGGCUGAAGGACCCUAGUGCCUACGUUCGGAUGGUCGCUGCUGUUGGUGCUGCAAAGCUGUAUCACAUAUCUGCUACCACCUGCCUCGACGCUGACCUGCCUGCUGCGCUCAAGGCACUUAUGCUCUCGGACCCUGAUGCCCAGGUGGUUGCCAAUUGCUUGCAUUCACUGCUUGAGAUAUGGACCCUAGAAGCUGCCAAUUCAGAGGCAGCAGGGAGGGAGAUUGAGACACUAUAUAGCAAGCCAGUGGUGUUUUACUUGCUAAACAAAAUCAAAGAAUUCAGCGAGUGGGCACAGUGCCAUGUUCUUGAGUUGGCGUCAAAGUUCAUACCAUCUGAUAAUAAUGAAAUAUUUGACAUAAUGAACCUGCUUGAGGAUAGACUUCAGCAUGCAAAUGGAGCUGUUGUUUUGGCAACAAUCAAAGUGUUUCUCCACUUGACGAUGUCAAUGACCGAUGUUCACCAGCAGGUUUAUGAACGCAUAAAGGCACCUUUGCUUACUCUGGUAGGUGCUGGGAGUCCAGAACAAUCAUAUUCAGUGCUAUGUCAUCUGCAUCUUUUGGUGAUGCGUGCUCCCAUGUUAUUUUCUUCCGACUACAAAAGUUUCUACUGCCAGUUUAGUGAUCCUUCGUAUGUGAAGAAGCUGAAACUUGAGAUGUUGACUGCUAUAGCAAAUGAGAGCAACACCUAUGAAAUUGUAACCGAGCUGUGUGAAUACGCUGGAAAUGUUGAUGUACCAAUUGCAAGAGAGUCUAUCAGAGCAGUUGGAAAAAUAGCUCUGCAGCAAUAUGAUGUGAAUGCUAUCGUUGACAGGCUUCUACAAUUUCUUGAAAUGGACAAGGAUUAUGUGACUGCUGAGACUCUUGUCUUGGUGAAAGAUCUUUUGAGGAAAUAUCCUCAAUGGAGCCAUGAUUGUAUAGCUGUUGUUGGAAAUAUUAGUAGCCAAAAUAUUCAAGAGCCAAAAGGGAAAGCAGCUCUCAUAUGGAUGUUGGGUGAAUAUUCUCAAGAUAUGCAUGAUGCUCCAUAUGUUCUUGAAAAUCUUGUUGAUAACUGGGACGAGGAGCAGUCUCCCGAGGUUCGUUUGCAUCUUCUGACUGCGGUGAUGAAAUGUUUCUUUAAGAGACCACCCGAGACACAGAAGGCAUUAGGGGCUACAUUAGCUGCUGGUCUAGCUGAUACACACCAGGAUGUUCAUGACCGAGCACUUUUCUACUACAGGCUUUUACAAUAUGAUCCAGCUGUAGCUGAACGUGUAGUAAACCCUCCCAAGCAAGCUGUCUCUGUAUUUGCAGACACACAGAGCAGUGAAAUCAAAGAUCGGAUAUUUGAUGAAUUUAACAGCCUAUCAGUUGUAUAUCAGAAGCCCUCUUACAUGUUUACCGACAAGGAACAUCGUGGAACAUUCGAGUACUCAGAAGAUCUUGCGAACUUAACUGUUGGGGCAGAUGCUCCAGAAACCGUCAUUUCUGCCCAAAGAUACCAAGAAAACGAUAAUGAUCUUCUGCUAAGUACUUCAGAUAAAGAGGACAACGGUAUAAGAAGCAGCAAUGGUUCUUACACCUCUACAUACAAUGCUCCUUCCGAUUUGCUAAGUUCGCAAACACCAGCUGAAACUGCACUAAUAAAUCCUAGUAGUUCGACAUAUUCAACACAAACAAACUUCAGUCUCGAUGAUCUUCUUGGACUUGGUGUUCCUGAUGCCUCAGCACCUCCACCACCUCCUGCACUGGCCCUCAACUCAAAGCCUGUGCUAGAUCCUGCGACUUUCCAGAAGAAAUGGGGCCAACUGGCAUUAUCCUUUUCUCAGGAAUGCUCUUUAAGUCUACAAGGAGCAGCUUCUUUGAUGAAUCCCCAAUCGCUCAUUCGUCAUAUGCAAAGCAACUACAUUCAAUGCAUUGCUUCAGGCGGUCAGCCUCCAAACUACAAGUUCUACUUUUAUGGUCAGAAAGCUGGGGCUGCUGCUUUCUACCUUGUAGAAUGCAUUGUUAACACAGCAUCAGCGAAGGCCCAGCUCAAAAUCAAGGCCGAGGAUGGGACUACUGCUGAGGCAUUUUCUACCUUGUUUCAAUCAGUAUUGUCUCAAUUUGGGCAUUCUUGA
rnacentral:rRNA from 1 species